UAUUAAAUUGUGCUCGAAUCAACGAAUCUUAAGUGAAAUAAUAAAAUAAAAUAAAAUAAAAAUAGAAAAUUUCCUUGAACCUAAAACCCACCGCAUGCUCUAACUCACGCAGGAGCCAAACCCUUCCCCGAUCCUUCGCAAUUCGGCCCAAUUCUUUUUCUCUCCCGCGAGCAGUUCAUCCGAGUCCUAGCCCGACUCCUCUUCCCCCUCUUUGACCGCUCGCAACCCUAGCUGCCCCGGACUGGCGAUACUUCGGCUCGAGGUCCCUACAUCCCCUGCCUCCACUCCCACUGUGGUCGAUACCUGGCCCUGCAAUGUUUGUCGCCACCUUACCCGUCCCUGUCUCGUUCGGUUACCCGUCCCUUUCUCGUUCGGUUAACCGUCCCUUUCUCGUUCAGUUCAUCUCCAGGUAAGUGGAGUGUUUGGGUUUCUCCUCCUCUUGGAUAUAUAAACCCCACUUGGGGGAGGUUUUCUUCUGGUUGAAAUUUUGGUGCAAGGGGAGGUGCUGCCAAAUUCCGGGUGAUUUCUUGGUCGGUUCUGCCGCUUAAGGGAAAUCUAAAGUUGUUGCUGAAUCUCCACUGGUCGGUGCAUCCCUUGCAAUUUUUGGAGCUCUGUUAAUUUGUUCCCUUCUCUUUUACAUUCAUUCUAACUUCUGGAUUCUUUGGGCAUUUAGGGAGUGACAUGAAGAACAGUCCUCUAAUGGCGGCCCAUGGAACUACCUCCGCUACUUCUCAAGGACAACAAGAAAGAACGAAAUUGAUGGGUCCGUGUCUUGCCAAUGCCACCAUGGUCCACCAUGGAUAGAAGAGAAAUGUUUUAGUACAAAGUAGGGCUAGCAAUAUGUGUCAGAUUUUCAUUUGUUGGCGUCCUCAACCACUGCAUAACUCCUCGCCUCGACCGAUGAGAUCAUUUUUAGGGAAGCAUCCUGUUUCACGAUCUUUGCACAACUGAAGCUCCAGCUCCUACUACUGCUGCUCCUGCUUUGCGUUUUUGAUGGGAUGAAGUACCACAUGGAGGACGUGAUUGGGGGAGAGGAGGAUGAGUUAGAAAUACCAGAGUGCAUUAUUUGCUUGUUAGAGUUCGAAAAAGGAGAGGAGAUUUGGCAAUUUAGAAUGCACACAUUUCUUUCACGCAGCUUGCAUUAGUAGAUGGCUAAUCUCACAUAAUACUUGUCCUACUUGUUGCACCAUUAUUUGAUGCCAUACAUCACAUUAUGUAUUUGUUUAUGUGUGUAACAGUAUAAGUGCGUAUUUGUGUGUUGUGCUGUAAGAAAUAUAUGAGUGGGAUCCUCUGUGUUAGUAAGAAUGUUCUAAAAAUAUUGUAACAACAGUUUACAUUCAUUUCUAAAAUGUA